AUCGCUUCUCGGCCUUUUGGCUAAGAUCAAAGUGUAGUAUCUGUUCUUAUCAGCUUAAUAUCUGAUACGAUCCCCAUGUGGGAUCUACGAUAUUAAUCUGAUUUUUGGAUUAUGGCGAAGUGCUAGGGGUUUGCUCCAGAUCGGUCCACUCCAUAGGGGAGAUUAUAAUGAUCAUUAUUGAAACUUGG